rnacentral:rRNA from 1 species
AGGGGUUGCUCCUAGUACGAGAGGACCGGAGUGAACGCACCACUGGUGUUCGGGUUGUCAUGCCAAUGGCAUUGCCCGGUAGCUAAGUGCGGAAAAGAUAAGCGCUGAAAGCAUCUAAGCGCGAAACUUGCCUCAAGAUGAGUCUUCCCUGGGCCUUUAAGGUCCCUGAAGGAACGUUUAAGACUAAGACGUUGAUAGGCUGGGUGUGUAAGUGCAGCGAUGCAUUGAGCUAACCAGUACUAAUGAUCCGUGAGGCUUAACCUUACAACACCGAAGGUGUUUUAG